rnacentral:rRNA from 1 species
UACAGAGGGUGCAAGCGUUAAUCGGAAUUACUGGGCGUAAAGCGAGCGUAGGCGGUUAUUUAAGUCGGGUGUGAAAGCCCCGGGCUCAACCUGGGAAUUGCAUUCGAUACUGGAUAGCUAGAGUUCGGCAGAGGGAAGCGGAAUUUCCGGUGUAGCGGUGAAAUGCGUAGAUAUCGGAAGGAACAUCAGUGGCGAAAGCGGCUUCCUGGACCAGAACUGACGAUCAGGCACGAAAGCGUGGGGAGCAAACAGG